AUACGGGGGGGGCUAGCGUUGUUCGGAAUUACUGGGCGUAAAGCGCACGUAGGCGGACUGAUCAGUUGGGGGUGAAAUCCCAGGGCUCAACCAUGGAACUGCCUCCAAUACUGUCAGUCUUGAGAUCGGAAGAGGUGAGUGGAAUUCCUAGUGUAGAGGUGAAAUUCGUAGAUAUUAGGAGGAACACCAGUGGCGAAGGCGGCUCACUGGUCCGAUACUGACGCUGAGGUGCGAAAGCGUGGGGAGCAAACAGGAUUAGAUACCCUAGUAGUCC
rnacentral:rRNA from 1 species